CAAUGUGUGGCAUACGGCUCAGUAACACGUAGUCAACAUGCCCAGGGGACGUGGAUAACCUCGGGAAACUGAGGAUAAACCGCGAUAGGUCACUACUUCUGGAAUGGGUAAUGACCCAAACCUAUAUGGCCCCUGGAUUGGACUGCGGCCGAUCAGGCUGUUGGUGAGGUAAUGGCCCACCAAACCUGUAACCGGUACGGGCUCUGAGAGGAGGAGCCCGGAGAUGGGCACUGAGACAAGGGCCCAGGCCCUAUGGGGCGCAGCAGGCGCGAAACCUCUGCAAUAGGCGAAAGCUUGACAGGGUUACUCUGAGUGAUUUCCGUUAAGGAGAUCUUUUGGCACCUCUAAAAAUGGUGCAGAAUAAGGGGUGGGCAAGUCUGGUGUCAGCCGCCGCGGUAAUACCAGCACCCCGAGUGGUCGGGACGUUUAUUGGGCCUAAAGCAUCCGUAGCCGGUUCUACAAGUCUUCCGUUAAAUCCACCUGCUCAACAGAUGGGCUGCGGAAGAUACUAUGGAGCUAGGAGGCGGGAGAGGCAAGCGGUACUCGAUGGGUAGGGGUAAAAUCCGUUGAUCCAUUGAAGACCACCAGUGGCGAAGGCGGCUUGCCAGAACGCGCUCGACGGUGAGGGAUGAAAGCUGGGGGAGCAAACCGGAUUAGAUACCCGGGUAGUCCCAGCUGUAAACGAUGCAGACUCGGUGAUGAGUUGGCUUUAUGCCAACUCAGUGCCGC
rnacentral:rRNA from 1 species